rnacentral:rRNA from 1 species
AGAGCGAACGCUGGCGGCAGGCUUAACACAUGCAAGUCGAGCGCCCCGCAAGGGGAGCGGCAGACGGGAGAGUAACACGUGGGAACGUACCUUUCGGUUCGGAACAACCCAGGGAAACUUGGGCUAAUACCGGAUACGUCCGUAAGGAGAAAGAUUUAUCGCCGAAAGAUCGGCCCGCGUCUGAUUAGCUAGUUGGUGAGGUAACGGCUCACCAAGGCGACGAUCAGUAGCUGGUCUGAGAGGAUGAUCAGCCUCACUGGGACUGAGACACGGCCCAGACUCCUACGGGAGGCAGCAGUGGGGAAUAUUGGACAAUGGGCGCAAGCCUGAUCCAGCCAUGCCGCGUGGGUGAUGAAGGCCCUAGGGUUGUAAAGCCCUUUCGGGCGGGAAGAUAAUGACGGUACCCGCAGAAGAAGCCCCGGCUAACUUCGUGCCAGCAGCCGC